rnacentral:rRNA from 1 species
AUUGAACGCUGGCGGCAGGCCUAACACAUGCAAGUCGAGCGGAUGACGGGAGCUUGCUCCUUGAUUCAGCGGCGGACGGGUGAGUAAUGCCUAGGAAUCUGCCUGGUAGUGGGGGACAACGUUUCGAAAGGAACGCUAAUACCGCAUACGUCCUACGGGAGAAAGCAGGGGACCUUCGGGCCUUGCGCUAUCAGAUGAGCCUAGGUCGGAUUAGCUAGUAGGUGAGGUAAUGGCUCACCUAGGCGACGAUCCGUAACUGGUCUGAGAGGAUGAUCAGUCACACUGAAACUGAGACACGGUCCAGACUCCUACGGGAGGCAGCAGUGGGGAAUAUUGGACAAUGGGCGAGAGCCUGAUCCAGCCAUGCCGCGUGUGUGAAGAAGGUCUUCGGAUUGUAAAGCACUUUAAGUUGGAGGAAGGGCAGUAAGCUAAUACCUUGCUGUUUUGACGUUACCGACAGAAUAAGCACCGGCUAACUCUGUGCCAGCCGCCGCGGUAAAAC